GCCCGGGUAGCUCAGUAGGUAGAGCGUGAGGCUUUUAACCUAACGGUCCAGGGUUCCAGCCCCUGCUCGGGCG
rnacentral:tRNA from 1 species